rnacentral:rRNA from 1 species
AACGAACGCUGGCGGCAGGCCUAACACAUGCAAGUCGAACGAGUGGCGGACGGGUGAGUAAUGCCUGGGAAACUGCCUGAUGGAGGGGGAUAACUACUGGAAACGGUAGCUAAUACCGCAUACCAUCGGAUGUGCCCAAAUGGGAUUAGGUAGUAGGUGGGGUAAAGGCUCACCUAGGCGACGAUCCCUAGCUGGUCUGAGUGGGUGACCAGCCACACUGGAACUGAGACACGGUCCGGACUCCUACGGGAGGCAGCAGUGGGGAAUAUUGCACAAUGGGCGCAAUCCUGAUGCAGCCAUGCCGCGUGUAUGAAGAAGGCCUUCGGGUUGUAAAGUACUUUCGGCGGCGAGGCGUUACCCGCAGAAGAAGCACCGGCUAACUCCGUGCCAGCAGCCGCGGUAAUAC